rnacentral:lncRNA from 10 species
ACUGUGCUAAGUGCUGGAGAUACAACAGUGAACAAGAAAGACAUAGACCCUUCUUGUGUAGAACUUUAAUUUCUAGCCAGAAAAACCAUUUUAGCGGCUAAAUGCACAUCCAGCCAUUGGAUUAUGGCCAUCAUGAAUGCUAAAAGGGAGAGUCCAGGGAGCUGUGAGAGGAUCUGUUUAGGGUACCUGAUUGGCCUGGUCCCAGGGGGAGUGGUUAGGGAAAGUCUCUUUGAUGAGUGACAUUUGAGCUAGGCUCUAGAUCAUGGCUGUGUUCUCAUUAAACUUUAUUUACAAGAAACAGGCAGCAGGCUAUGUUUGGCCCGCGGGCUGUCAUUUGCUAACCCCUGCUCUAAAGGAUGCAUGGGAAUGGGUGGUUCAAAGACAUGAAACCAGGGCUUGUCCUGGAACCAAAACUAGAUUCAACCACCCAUCUCUUCAUUUGUUCAACCAAACACAUGUGGGUUUCCAUAGUUCUGUGUUGCCUCUGUUCCCAUGCUGUGCUCUCUGCAGGCUCCCUGACCCCCAGAGGACCCAUGUGAUGUGGGCAACCAGCAAGGUGAGUUCCUGGCUGGCCUUGGGGGUGUCAGAAGGGUGGGAGGGCAGAGAGGUGGGUGGAACCAGCUUCCUCCAUGGAGGGCUGGCCACCGCCUAGGGUGCUUCUUCCUGCAGGACUUCGGGAUGUCUGGGCUCCGCUUUGGCACGCUGUACACAGAAAACCAGGAUGUGGCCACUGCCGUGGCUUCCCUCUGCCGCUACCACGGCCUCAGUGGCUUGGUCCAGUACCAGAUGGCACAGCUGCUCCGGGACCGUGACUGGAUCAACCAGGUGUACCUGCCGGAAAACCAUGCCCGGCUCAAGGCUGCCCACACCUAUGUCUCAGAAGAGCUUAGGGCAUUGGGGAUCCCCUUCUUGA